UACGUAGGGUCCAAGCGUUGUCCGGAUUUAUUGGGCGUAAAGAGCUCGUAGGCGGCUUAGUAAGUCGGAUGUGAAAACUCGGGGCUCAACCCCGAGACGCCAUCCGAUACUGCUGUGGCUUGAGUCUGGUAGGGGAACACGGAAUUCCUGGUGUAGCGGUGAAAUGCGCAGAUAUCAGGAGGAACACCGGUGGCGAAGGCGGGACUCUGGGCCGAUACUGACGCUGAGGAGCGAAAGCGUGGGGAGCAAACAGG
rnacentral:rRNA from 1 species